UACGUAGGGUGCAAGCGUUGUCCGGAAUUAUUGGGCGUAAAGAGCUCGUAGGCGGUUUGUCGCGUCUGCUGUGAAAAUCCAGGGCUUAACCCUGGACCUGCAGUGGGUACGGGCAGACUGGAGUGCGGUAGGGGAGAUCGAAUUCCUGGUGUAGCGGUGAAAUGCGCAGAUAUCAGGAGGAACACCGGUGGCGAAGGCGGAUCUCUGGGCCGUAACUGACGCUGAGGAGCGAAAGCAUGGGGAGCGAACAGG
rnacentral:rRNA from 1 species